CUCGGCUUUCUCUCCAAAACGAAGAACAAAAACAGCGUAGGAACGAUUGUAAACAAAGUGUGCAGCUAAGAAGGCGGUCGUGGCAUUCGCCAAGCCAAUAAUGGAGAUCUGUGCUCAAUUGAUUGGCUGAAUAAUGGUGAAGUUGGAUAGCUGUGUAUGGAUCGGAUGACGAUGACUGGAUAAUUUGGCCGAAAUCGGCAAAUGGUCAUGUUAACGAGGGGACUGGCAGCACAGCGAAGUAUAUGCCAUCGGCACUAAGUUCGGCAACAGGAAGCACCAUCAGAUAUUUAGCGAUUUAACCCACGACCUCUUGCGCAAGAGAUAGCAACGGUAGCAAUUAUACCACCUGACCCAUCCUCACUUAUCCCGGUAUACCUUGAAUUUGUUGAGCAAAUUGCGUAAUUUGAAUAACUUCCUCAA